CGGCGGGCUCUACGGCGAACGACCUCGCCCCACCCCCUCGCUUUAGGAAGGCAGCGAGAGUCUAUCGAACCCGGCCGGGAGCACGAAACCUUGCACGCACCCUCCUCCCUCGUUCCGGCCGCUCCCACUCCCGGUCCGCUCGACCCCUCUCGAACCUUUGAAAAAUCUUAGGUCCCAUUUCAUAAAUCGUUCAGAAUUUCUUUCUUGCGACAGUGAUUACUUUUUCUUGGUUUUGUUUUAAUUCAAAUCUUCCCAAGAACCGUCUCACCUUAGAUCAAAAUCUCGUUUCGUUGCGAUUUCAAAAGCUGGUCGGUUCUUCUUUGUCUUCUUCUACCCACCGUUCGGCCGGCUGGUGGCCUCAUUGUAAUCGAUCGGAAGGAAGAGGCCGGAAAGAUGAGCGGCGCGGCUGUGGGUGGGAGGCAGAUAGCCCCGCGAUCCGGCAACCACCAGCGGCAAUACUCGUCGGACCACUUCCUCACCGCCGGCGGCGGCAAGUGGCCUGGUUCUGCCGGCCUCAACCACCCCUAUUCCUCCAUCCUCCCUCCUUCCCAGCAGGUUGAGUACUCGAGGGCGGUGCGGGACGUGAACAGAGGGACGGGCGGGGAGAUCUUCUUGUCUAUGGAGCCCCCGAUGCCGGCAUUGGGCUCGUGGUCUUCGAGCCAGAGGAGGAAUGGGAAUGAUUCCAUAUCCGCCGGCCAGCUCAGCCCUGGGAUCUUGGAUCUCCACUCCUUCGACACUGAGCUCCUCCCUGAACUUCCGACUCCUGGAUUGUAUGAUGGUGUUCAACUAUUUGGAUGUGCUCAAGGCAGAGGUUUUGAUGAUUCGGAUCCAAGCUUUUCUACCGGCAAACAGAUGAGUAUGGCUCAAUUUGUGGCAGAGAGCAAUCCCUUGAGAAGUUUCUCAGCAGACAAAGAGAAGCUGGCUUCUGUCGCCAAGAUCAAAGUCGUGGUGCGUAAGAGGCCGCUUAACAAAAAGGAAAUAGCAAAGAAAGAGGAAGACAUCAUCACAAUAGAACCAAAUUCCAACUCUGUUACGGUUCAUGAGACUAAACUGAAGGUUGACCUGACAGAGUAUGUUGAGAAACAUGAAUUUGUAUUUGACUCUGUGCUGAAUGAGGAUGUUUCAAAUGAUGAAGUUUAUCGGGAGACAGUGCAGCCAAUUGUCCCAGCAAUUUUUCAGCGUACCAAGGCAACUUGUUUUGCUUAUGGACAAACAGGUAGUGGAAAGACAUACACUAUGCAACCACUCCCCCUUGAAGCAUCGCAAGAUAUUCUGAGACUUAUGAACCAUACAUACUGCAAUCAAGGUUUUCAGUUGUUUGUCAGUUUCUUUGAGAUAUAUGGUGGGAAACUCUUUGAUCUUCUAAAUGACAGGAGAAAGCUUUUCAUGAGAGAGGAUGGUAAACAGAAAGUUUGCAUUGUCGGUUUACAAGAGUAUAGAGUUUCCAGUGUCGAUGCUAUCCAGGAGCUAAUCGAAAAAGGAAAUGCAACAAGGAGUACAGGUACAACUGGUGCGAAUGAAGAAUCUUCACGAUCUCAUGCCAUUCUUCAGCUUGCUAUCAAAAAGUCAGUAGAUGGUACUGAAUCAAAGCCACCUCGGAUUGUUGGCAAGCUAUCCUUCAUAGACCUUGCAGGCAGCGAGCGUGGUGCAGAUACCACUGACAAUGAUAAGCAGACAAGAAUUGAAGGUGCGGAGAUCAAUAAAAGUUUGCUUGCACUAAAGGAAUGCAUUAGAGCACUUGACAACGAUCAGGUUCAUAUUCCUUUCAGAGGAAGUAAAUUGACAGAAGUUCUGAGGGACUCAUUCAUUGGAGACUCGCGCACUGUUAUGAUUUCAUGCAUUUCUCCAAGUUCUGGCUCAUGUGAACACACUCUCAACACAUUGAGAUAUGCUGAUAGGGUGAAGAGCCUCUCAAAGGGCGGCAACCCCAGGAAGGAUCUUCCACCAGCAAUGUUAAGAGAGUCAACUACUUUACCCUUAACUUCAAUUUUCCCACCUGUUUCCACUCUUGAGGGUAGCAACGAUGAAAUUGCUAUUGAGAAAAACAAAUUUGGCUUAUCAAAACAACCUAGAAGAGAAACAUCUCCACCUUUAAAUGUGGACUGUGUCCCCAGCAGGAGGGAGGAGGUGCAUGUGGCUUCGUUAAAUGGUGAUUAUUUCAAGGAGCAGAGAAGCAAGGGUUCGACAACUGCAGAAGAGUUUGAUUUAUUGGCAAUGGCAUAUGAGCAGGGAAAACCUUCAAGGAAAGGAAAAGUAGAGAUCUACUCAGUUUCAGCUUUGGAGGAUAGGGUGAAGAGAGUUGAUGCACCACAAGAAAAAUGGAAGGAUGUGGCUGAUGAUGAUGAAGAUGAUGAUUUGAGUGCUCUAUUACAGGAAGAGGAAGAUCUGGUGAUCGCACAUCGGAAACAAGUGGAGGAGACUAUUGAUAUUGUUAGGGAGGAGAUGAAUCUGUUGGUCAAAGCAGAUCAACCUGGUAACCAGUUGGAUGAUUACAUUUCGAAAUUGAACGCUAUUCUUUCACAGAAGGCUGCUGGAAUUGUAAAUCUGCAGGCUCGUCUGGCUCGGUUUCAGAGGCAUCUCGAUAAGCACAAUGUUCUGCUUUCUUCUCCAGGACCAUGAUUUUUGAAUUUUUAGGCUCUUACUACAGUUGGCCAUAAUUAAGUAUAUCAACUAAGAUCUAUGAUGCUAAAUCAGCCCCAAUUCGACCAGGUUGAUAUCUCUCCAUGGUGAUGGCAUGGAUGGCUGUUGGUUUCUGUGUCAUCCAGUUGUAUCGGAAAAGCUAUAACAGGAUCCACGGUUUUUAGUCACUCAAAUAUCAAUAGAGAACACCGCUGACUUUAGCACCCGGCUGACUUGCGCGUGCGGCCUAAUAAAUCAGCAGGGUCAAGCUGUAGUUCGAAUAACCCUAGAGUCCAGGCAGUACCUCUGUUUGGCCCAUCCGUGCCCAAGCUCUUCGCUUUAUUAUGUUGAUUUUUUGGCCGAGUGACAUUUGUUCAAAGCUGGGUUGAGUAUUUUUUUUGGGAAAGGAAAUCAACUACGCCAUGACUCAAUCGUCCAGCUUAUAGUUACGGGCCCCAGGCUUGGUCCCCUCAAAAUGAUUCCAAAAUUAUGGGCCCACGGCUGAGCACCAAAUACAAUAAAACAUUCUCAGGU